CUGAACCUGCAGACAAGUUCAAAGAGGUCCCCCGCCCCAUGAAUGGAACCAAACCCAAACCUCACAUCUCUUGGUUGCCUUGAACCUGAACUGGAACUGAAUCCCUAAAAACAAAACAUGGUAACUGGUUGAAGACCAGUCAAUUAAAUAAUUUACCUGGCAACUCAGUUUUUUCCAAAGGGUAGUGAAGUUGGAUCUGGGGGAACUAUAUUUCCCAGUGAGGCCUCUGAAGGGAAGGUGAGGAGGAGCAAGAGAGCUUCGUAGGCUGGGCCUAGGAAGGGGUGUGGUUGCCCAUCCAUAGGCUGUUGGCCAGGAACAAGACCUCAGCAUGGAGAAGGAUUCUUGAACAGAGACUGGAAACUUCUAUUGCUUCCCAGUUACACAGCAGUUCCUUCUUGCUGCCAUUCAGCCUAAGCUGAAAUGGUCAUAACGAGGGAAAGGAAAUGUGUCCUGCAAAAUGAUCUGAUGCAGAGAUUUGGUGGAUGGAUUUUCUUCCUGCAGAGGGCUUUUCUGAUCACCCUAUUUGGAGAUGGACGGGGAUUUUACUCCACCUCAGCUGAGCCAAUGAUCUUGAGGAGGGUCCCCAUAUCCUGUCUCAUGUGUGGCUUUAUGAGUCUAUUGUUUGGGGCUAUGGCCUUUUAAAAACUAAAUAAAUAAAUGCAUCGGCUGUGUUUUGCCUGGA